rnacentral:tRNA from 1 species
AGCGGAGAGGAGGAAGGGUAAAAUCUCGUCAGAUUCAUGAUCUGAAGGAAGUAGGUUCAAGUCCUACCUCCGUGA